GGUCUGUUGGUGAAGGGGUUAACACUCAAGGUUCUCAUCCUUGCAUUCAUGGGUUCGAAUCCCAUACAGACUACCA
rnacentral:tRNA from 1 species